AGAACGAACGCUGGCGGCACGCCUAACACAUGCAAGUCGAGCGCCCAGCAAUGGGAGCGGCGGACGGGUGAGUAACACGUGGGAACAUGCCUUUCGGUACGGAACAACUGCGGGAAACUGCAGCUAAUGCCGUAUACGCCCUUACGGGGAAAGAUUUAUCGCCGAAAGAUUGGCCCGCGUCUGAUUAGCUAGUUGGUGAGGUAACGGCUCACCAAGGCUUCGAUCAGUAGCUGGUUUGAGAGAACGACCAGCCACAUUGGGACUGAGACACGGCCCAAACUCCUACGGGAGGCAGCAGUGGGGAAUCUUGGACAAUGGGGAAACCCUGAUCCAGCGAUGCCGCGUGAGUGAUGAAGGCCUUCGGGUUGUAAAACUCUUUCGACGGGGACGAUAAUGACGGUACCCGUAGAAGAAGCUCCGGCUAACUUCGCGCCAACACGCCGC
rnacentral:rRNA from 1 species